UACGGAGGGAGCUAGCGUUGUUCGGAAUUACUGGGCGUAAAGCGCACGUAGGCGGCUAUUCAAGUCGGGGGGUGAAAGCCCGGGGCUCAACCCCGGAACUGCCCUCGAAACUAGAUAGCUAGAAUCUUGGAGAGGUCAGUGGAAUUCCGAGUGUAGAGGUGAAAUUCGUAGAUAUUCGGAAGAACACCAGUGGCGAAGGCGACUGACUGGACAAGUAUUGACGCUGAGGUGCGAAAGCGUGGGGAGGCAAACAGG
rnacentral:rRNA from 1 species